rnacentral:lncRNA from 1 species
UUUUGCAAUCUAGAUUAUAAUGGAUGGUUCCCCUUGUUGGAGGGGCUGAGCCCCCCACAGGUGGAAACCCUCAGACUCGCCCCUGCCCGGACGGAUGGUGAAAACUUUGCGCAGCCGGCGCGCGGGGCGGCGCCGUUUCUUUCUUCGCCAUACUUGCACAAACGCUCAGAGCAACGAACGCACUUAAAACCCUCCUCGGCACCGCAAAGUCCCGGCUUCUUUUUUUCUUUUUUAGAAUCAAGACCCACCCUGUUGAAGAGGGACGACGCCUAUAAAGUUACAGCAAAUGUAAAGAGGUGAAGCGGGUUAUUUCCUCAGACUAGUCGAUAAUAGUGAUUUUUGUCAGUACAUUUUAUAUAAUAAUCUAGAAAAAUGUUUUGUCGAAUUUCUGAAAGACAACCCGGUUCGUCCGGGGGCAAGAGGGUUUUGUGCACAUCUUCUUUGUCUUAAUAUUCAUAUUUAAUAACGACAAAUAUAAGACGGUAGCGAUGCAUUUAGGGUUGGUUACCGGAGCCAGAUGUUUUUCCAUUAUUUAGUUAUAUGGGAAUCACGAAGCUUUCUUAAAAAAUAUAUAUAUAUAUAUAUUUUUAUCACCAGAUCGACAUUUUUCUAGACAAAUUUUAAAUUUCCGAACAAUUCAUAGUUAAAGUUCUUAUAUUACAUUGACCCCAAAUGAAACGUGAAACAAACUUUUCUUAAUUCUUUCAAACAUAAAAAGGCACUUUCGUUCAAAGCUAAACUGAUGAUUAAACGACGAGUUGAAAUCGUUUCUCUGGCAGGUUUAUCAUUUUCUGGUCUCAUUUACUGAGCUUUUUUGUUCAUAAAACUGUGGUAGUUUCCUCCAAAAUGUGGCAAAGUUUUAAAAUAAUGACUUCCUCAGAAAGAAAGAUGGAAAAGCUUCUUGCUAGAAUACUGAUUGAAUGACCCUUUUCAAUAAGAAGCAGUGGAUUAGUGCUGUUAUGUAAUCCCGUUACUCCCCUCCUUCCUCAUCCAGCAUCCCAAUGUUUAUACAUUCAAUGAUGCUAAAUAUUUCAGCUGUAUAAUUCUACCACCUGUUCAUAUCAAGGAAUAAAUCAAAUGUUCAGUUUCUGCAAAGAUAUUAGCUCCUCUGUAAUGAUGUGGACAAUUGAUCGUGGAAUAAGAACAUCUGAGACAGUGAAAACAUACUUUAAAGUUUUUACCGCUAAAAUCUCUUUUAUGCCUUUUUGUUUGGUCUAAAAUAUGGAUUAUGGUUAUUAUUUUAAAGAAUGCUACUAAUAAACUGGAGGAAAAUAACACUUAUUUAUUCAAACUGAUAUUACUUCUCAGUCUUUUUUGGUGUUGUGCCAUCAGAUCAACUUCCUGUACAAACAUGUUCAUUUUUUAGGUUUUAGGUCAUGGUAAAUAAACAGAAAAGAUAUAAAUAGACAAUUACUGCCAAUAUCUGGAUUUUGGACAAUCAGCUAAAAAUUAUUGGAACAGUUUUUUUUUUAAAUCAUGGAUUUGGAUUGAAUGCACUCAUGGAAAUGUUGAAUAUUGUUUUUCUAUUAUUACUACAUCUACAGAACAAAAAUGUUUGAAUGAGCUGUUAUAUUAAUUAUGUGGAUUUAGUAUUAAAUUCUCUCCAUUUUAAUUUAGCAAACCUCUGUGUUGUUGUUUAUUGUGAAGUUAAGGACAGAUAAAUGUAGCUUCAGGUGCUGGAGUAACAUUUGACAGGAUUUUUUAGAAGACACCGCUGUACUGUUUGAUCGAAAAUGACCAGUAAAAAUCGCGUAUAAAAUGAGCUUCAUCCUGAAAUUAUCGUCCUGUUUUUCCCACAAAGCGUUUAGGAUGCAAACAGAACUGUUCGCAAAUAGGACAAGCACAAAAAAAAAUCAGAUUUUUAAGAAUUUAGUUGCCAGUCCUUAAACAAAGCUUUUCCUCCUUUUGUUGCUCGUCGAGGUUUUAGGAAAGGAAAUCUUCCUAGCAACACCCUUUGGACAACACUUCCAUGACAGAACGGCAGCUGAACUGAACUCAAAUCUAGGAGCUUGUAUAUUUUUUGGUCUGA